rnacentral:lncRNA from 10 species
AAUGAAAAUCCUGGAGAACAGAGUGGAAGAAACGCGUAUUCCACAUUUCCUGUUGAUUUUCUUUCCUCCCUAAACACUGACCUCCCGCAGUCUUCACUAGCAGGUGAGGUCACCUGUAGAGGUCAUGCUGCGGAGUCCCGAGUCCCUGAUUAUAUUCAAGACGUGGAGCUCUCUUUUUCCCGUCCUGCUUUCUUUCCAGAAGUGCCUCAGAUGCAUCCUCCCCUUCUCUUUUCUCCACAUGAAGACGUCACUGACCAUCUUCUCUGGUUUGCUUUCCAACACCGAGCACCAAGUGCUUCAAAGGUCAUGGUGCCCUGGGGCCGAGAGCUACUUAUGUGGGCAUUUAUAACCAAAUAAAUAUUGAAAUGGCCCACAAAGCAAAUGUUAGUGGUAACCAACAGCGGUAAAACUGGGUACAUGGGACCCUGAACCUUCUUGAAUAUUCCCCAUGAGACCCUGGGCCGACCUUCGGGCUUUCCAGUGUGCUCAGAAAAUCCUCCGUGGCUCCCAGCCCCAGCUUAGUCUUUCAACGGUCCUCGGACUGAAGCAAGAGACAGGGAAGGAAUUGUCCAAGGUUUUCCAGCAUGCUGAGAACACUUACCAUGGUGGAGCCUGGCACGUACUGGCUCUUUGAUGCAUGUGUAUUGGUCUCAAGUAGCCAGAAGCAUCUCCUCUGAGAGCCCUUGCCCUCCAGUUUAAAUGGCAAAUGGAAGGGAAUGGGUUCUGGAAGGCCCCAGGUGGGCUGGGGUGGGUUCUGGAGACCAUCUUCCAACUCCUGUUCAGGAGGAGGGUUGGUCAGAUCAGCUCUGUGGCCACCUGGGCUCUGGAGGGGCGAGAUACGGGCAGGUGCGGCCACAGGAGGGAGAGCACCAUGUGCGGGGGAAGCCCACAGCUGGAACCAAAAGGCCCCAGGAGGGAUCCUGGCUCUGACAUCUCCCAGCCGUGUGGCCUUGGGCAAGGUCCCUGACUUGGACCUCAGCCUCCUCAUCUGUAAAACAGGCAGAACAGUAAUACCGACCUUGUAGGUUGUAUAGAGUUCAUAUACAUCAAGCACUUACCACAGUGCCUGGCGGACCGCAUGCCCUAAACACACAAUCCGUGAAAUGAAUCCAUCAGCAAGCAGCUGCUAGGGGCAGUGUGGGGCAGAGAGGCAGCUGCCUGCUGGAACUGGCUGACAGGAGGAUGAGUGUGUGGCAGGAGGAACGCUCUGCACAGAGGACACUAGGUAGCGUCACCUGUCUCUUACCCUGUGUCUCCACUGGAAUGGAAUGUCAGACUCGCACCAUGCAUUCCUUUCCCUGCCAAAACGCCUCCUCUUAGCAGUGAGCAAGAAAGUUGUUCGAGUGGAUGAAGCCAAAAGCCCAUUUGGCAAGAGUGCUGUUUUGGAAAAUGCUUAGCGGUGUGGGUUGGGAUGAGGUUUUCUGUGCCUUUCCAUUAUUUCUUCAGCUUCAUGUAACCCUGACUGAGCAAUGCUCAGCAGAGUGAAGGCUGGGCAGCAGAUGGACAAGAUUUUCUCAAACUCCUUUUUAAGCCAAUUUCAAAAUAGAGAGAGGGAAAAAUCCUUGUUUUCUCUUUUCGGUUUUGAGAGGUUUCAUAUGCAGACACAAUUUUAAAUUUUAUUUUUUUUGCCCCCAAUGAGAUGUUUGGAGAUGGUGGUACUAGAACAGGAAGGAAUUUAUAAGUAUUGGGGAAUUUUUCAUCCCAAUUCCCAUAUCCUCCUAUAAUUCAAGGAGUGAAUGGGUAGUGUUUUUGUUUUUGUGAGAGGGGUGGCGGAGGGUAGAGAGAGAAAGAGAGAGAGACAGAGAGAGAUUACAUAGAGGUGUCCAAAAUGAACACAGUAAAAACCAGUUUUGAUUAAUUCUGCAAUAUUAAGUAGGCAGCCAAAAAUUUUGGUCUGCUUAAUUCUUAGCUCAUCUAAGUCUCCAGUUGACUGAUUGAUUGAUUGAAUGACUUAUUCAACAUGCGCUAGCCAGACACUGGUCUAGGGCCCAGGAAUUCAGCAAUAAAUGAAACAAGACC